CGAAACAUAUCAUUUCUUAUCUUCAAAGUAUACUAAUAUUGGUUCAAAUGAUGUGUCUUUCGAUGAUCUUGAUUCCAUUCUAAAUAUAUGAUUUUAUUUUGAUAUUAAAAAGAUUUAUUGUGAUUCAUGUAUACAUCGCUGAAAAACUAUCAUUAAGAAAUUGAGUUCUAUAAAUAUAUAUACCUCAAUGAUCAUCUAUAUGUUUUUCUCUCCUACAUUCUUAAAGAUUUCCAUCAGAAUAUAUAUAGAGUGAAUGAUCUAAAAGCUAGAAGUAUUUCACCUCACUCAAAUGACUCUAAAAGAAAGAAAAUGUAAAUGCUGUUGAAAGAAACUGAGCGUCAAAUGAAUCAUUUUCUGAUUAAUAUUUCAGUACAUUUUCUCAAAGAUUAAGAGGAAGCAUAACUUGUUCUUGAUAGAUUAAAAAGGGUGAUUGCUAUAAAUUUUGAAUAAUUCUUGAUCACUCUCCAUUCUCGAUAUCAUAGAAUUUCAGUU
rnacentral:lncRNA from 1 species